GAUGAACGCUGGCGGCGUGCCUAAUACAUGCAAGUCGAGCGAACAGAUGAGGAGCUUGCUCCUCUGACGUUAGCGGCGGACGGGUGAGUAACACGUGGAUAACCUACCUAUAAGACUGGGAUAACUUCGGGAAACCGGAGCUAAUACCGGAUAAUAUAUUGAACCGCAUGGUUCAAUAGUGAAAGACGGUUUUCCUGUCACUUAUAGAUGGAUCCGCGCCGCAUUAGCUAGUUGGUAAGGUAACGGCUUACCAAGGCAACGAUGCGUAGCCGACCUGAGAGGGGGAUCAGCCACACUGGAACUGAGACACGGUCCAGACUCCUACGGGAGGCAGCAGUAGGGAAUCUUCCGCAAUGGGCGAAAGCCUGACGGAGCAACGCCGCGUGAGUGAUGAAGGUCUUCGGAUCGUAAAACUCUGUUAUUAGGGAAGAACAAAUGUGGAAGUAACUAUGCACGUCUUGACGGUACCUAAUCAGAAAGCCACGGCUAACUACGUG
rnacentral:rRNA from 1 species